UAUUAUUAUUAUUAUUAUUAUUAUUAUUAUUAUUAUUAUUAUUAUUAUUAGUAAUUGUCGUAUACGUUAAUGUGAAACGUUAUGCGACAGUUUAGAUUAAUGAUACAUCCGGAGGAAUGUCGUUCUGACCCGGGUCUUAGUUCAGAUGGUAUCGAGAUAUAAUACUACUCUGCGAAUGGCUUUGGUUCGUCACCGCCAUGUGGCGCUCUGGACUUGAGUUGCUUUGAGAAAGUUUUCCGUAAAAGUAAGAACGCGUAUGUAUCAACACUAUUUGGGGAGUUCUCAUGUCAAGACGCUCCUCCCUUGUAGCUCGGUGAACGAAAGAGAAAUAAAAAGAAUAACUCAAGAGAACCAAAAAGAAUAACUCAAGAGAACCAAAAAACAAUUAAUAUAACAGAACAAAUCCCAGACGACAAAAUGCGUAUCAAAAGCAAAAACCGAGGGACCACAGACUGUCUCCGCGACAAGGUGAAGGUCGCGGAUCGGCUGGCUAAAAUCUAGGCUAAGCCUGAAAAACGUUGCAAGCAGACGAUGUUUUGUUUGGUUUUUUUUGUUGGUAACAAACAAACAAAAGGAAAAAA